rnacentral:rRNA from 1 species
AGUCGUAACAAGGUUUCCGUAGGAACAUCCUUCUCGAGUGAAGCUUUGAACACGCACGACUAUAAACAAUGCCAACACGGUCCCUGAUUCACAUCAAGGGCGACGUCACAUAAAUGCCGGGAUCCUUUAACAAGAGUACCAGCAGCCGAAUUUACAUUUGGUCCACAGAUUAGAUGGUGACGGUCAAGUAACGUAGAGACCUACCAACCAGGUCCACGUUCGAUUAAGAGAUAAUCGGUUCGCUGGUCUACAACAGUGAGAUUUACGUUCCGUAGGUGAACCUGCGGAAGGAUCAUUAUCGAGCUAGGGUCCUCUGGGCCCCAUCUCCAACCCUUGUCUACCACGUUGCCCCGGCGUUCCUGCCGGGGGGACUUUGAAAAUUUCUUUUUUAAAUUCUUUAACCAUGUCGUCCUACGGGAGAGCAAACAAUAAAUUAAAACUUUCAACAACGGAUCUCUUGGUUCUGGCAUCGAUGAAGAACGCAGCGAAAUGCGAUAAGUAAUGCGAAUUGCAGAAUUCCGUGAGUCAUCGAAUCUUUGAACGCACAUUGCGCCCUUUGGUAUUCCGAAGGGCAUGCCUGUUCGAGCGUCAUUAUCAACCCUCAAGCCCGGCUUGCUGUUGGGUCCCACCGUCGGCGACGGCGGUGGACCCGAAAGAUAAUGGCAGAGUCUACGAGACCCUGGAUGCAGCGAGCUUCCUCAGCACGCAUCGCAAGGGCCUCGGGGCGCUGUCUCAACCGAUAAAUUUCAUCUGGUUGACCUCGGAUCAGGUAGGGAUACCCGCUGAACUUAAGCAUAUCAAUAAGCGGAGGAAAAGAAACCAACAGGGAUUGCCUCAGUAACGGCGAGUGAAGCGGCAACAGCUCAAAUUUGAAAUCUGGCUCCUUUGGGGGUCCGAGUUGUAAUUUGUAGAGGAUGCUUCGGGCAAGGCUGCGGUCUAAUUUGCUUGGAACAGCGAGUCACAGAGGGUGAGAGUCCCGUCUAGGACCGUGCGCCGCGUCCAUGUGAAGCUCCUUCGACGAGUCGAGUUGUUUGGGAAUGCAGCUCUAAAUGGGUGGUAAAUUUCAUCUAAAGCUAAAUAUUGGCCAGAGACCGAUAGCGCACAAGUAGAGUGAUCGAAAGAUGAAAAGCACUUUGAAAAGAGAGUUAAACAGUAUGUGAAAUUGUUGAAAGGGAAGCGCUUGCAACCAGACUUGCGUGGGACGGUUCCCCCCAUCUUCUGAUGGGGCUACUCCGUCCUCUCCAGGCCAGCAUCGGUUCGGGUGGUCGGUCAAAGACCCCGGGAAUGUAUCUACCUCCGGGUCGACUUAUAGCCCGGGGUGUAAUGCGGCCCACCCGGACCGAGGAACGCGCUUCGGCCCGGAUGCUGGCGUAAUGGUUGCAAGCGGCC